UACGUAGGGGGCUAGCGUUGUCCGGAAUCAUUGGGCGUAAAGAGCGUGUAGGCGGCCCGGUAAGUCCGCUGUAAAAGUCAAAGGCUCAACCUUUGAAUGUCAGUGGAUACUGCCGGGCUAGAGUCCGGAAGAGGCGAGUGGAACUCCUGGUGUAGCGGUGGAAUGCGCAGAUAUCAGGAAGAACACCAGCGGCGAAGGCAGCUCGCUGGGACGGUACUGACGCUGAGACGCGAAAGCGUGGGGAGCGAACAGG
rnacentral:rRNA from 1 species